AUUGAACGCUGGCGGCAGGCCUAACACAUGCAAGUCGAGCGGAUGAGAGAAGCUUGCUUCUCGAUUCAGCGGCGGACGGGUGAGCAAUGCCUAGGAAUCUGCCAGGUAGUGGGGGACAACGUUUCGAAAGGAACGCUAAUACCGCAUACGUCCUACGGGAGAAAGCAGGGGACCUUCGGGCCUUGCGCUAUCAGAUGCGCCUAGGUCGGAUUAGCUAGUUGGUGAGGUAAUGGCUCACCAAGGCGACGAUCCGUAACUGGUCUGAGAGGAUGAUCAGUCACACUGGAACUGAGACACGGUCCAGACUCCUAAGGGAGGCAGCAGUGGGGAAUAUUGGACAAUGGGCGAAAGCCUGAUCCAGCCAUGCCGCGUGUGUGAAGAAGGUCUUCGGAUUGUAAAGCAUUUUAAGUUGGGAGGAAGGGUUGUAGAUUAAUACUCUGCAAUUUUGACGUUACCGACAGAAUAAGCACCGGCUAACUCUGUGCCAGCCGCCGCAGUAAUAC
rnacentral:rRNA from 1 species